CCUCAUGGGUUCAAGCGAUUCUCGUGCCUCAGCCUCCCCAGUACCCUGGAAGUGCUCAGUACAUCAUAUGAGCCAGAGUGCUGGCCAGGAAUGAGACCACGCUUUGCCUGUUGGUCACCGCAUCUCCAGGGAACUCAGAGGCAUCUCCAGGAAACACCUGAAUAUGUGAGCUGGUUCCUUACAACAGUCCAAUGAAGCAGAGGUGUGAGCAGAUCCUUUUUACAGCUAAGGAAACUGAGGCACAAAGAGGUUGACAGCACACUUGCCCCAAAGCGCAGAUCUGAAAUCCAGGCAGCGCUCACUCCACUUGGCAUCUGCUGCAGUGGCUCAGAGGCUGGGUCUGGAGUCAUCUGAAGGCCCUUUCACUCUUGUGUCUGGAGGGCAAUUGGCCCUUGCCAGCUGGGACUUUUCCACGUGGCUCCAUGGGUGCCUCACAGCAUGGUCCUGGGUCCCAAGAAGACGAGAUAGAACAUUUUUAGAUUUAGCCUCAGAAGUCACAUGGCAUCACAUCUGCAGUAGGCCCACUGGAUUCAAGGGGACACAGACCUUCAUCUCUCCAUGGGUGAGUGUGGCCUCAUGUUGCAGGAAGAGCUAUGGAGUAUCACAAAGUGAUGCAGCCAUCUUUAGAAAAUGCACUCUGCCACACACACCUGCUUCCUUAGGCCACAGGGCCUUUGGACAUCCUAUUUCUUCCACAGGGAGCGCUCUUUCCCCUCUUCCCCUAAUUAAAGUCUACUCAUCUUUUACAUCUCAGCUGGGUUAUCAUUUCUUCAGGGAACCCUUCCCUGAGCUCCCCAACCAGGUCAGUUCCCCUAGUUUAUGCUUACUUAUUCCUCCUCAAGGAGUGUCACAGUUAUAUUUUACAUAUGUGUGCAUGCAUAUAAUAUAUGCAUGUAAUUUUGUGCUCUUUUAUACACACAAACACAGCAUAUCAAUGCCUGUCUUAAUUAGAUGGUAAGCCUCAUAAAAAGAGGAACUGUAGAGCUUGUUGGAUUUUGUUCAUUGCUCUAUCCUCAAUGCCUACUGUAAGGACUAGAAUACAGCGGGUCUCAUAUAUUUGUUGAAUAAAAAAAUGCAUGGAUACUCAAGGCUGGAUUUUGGAGCUUCCUGGGCUGAUGGCUGUGUUACCCCCGGGGCAGGAUCCUUAAACCCAGGAAAAAGAGAUUCAGAGGAAGAUACUUCUGAGCUUGAUGCUGGAAUAGCAGCUGAUCUCAACUUUGGGAGUUACAUCAAUGUUCAUCUCAACAGAAUGAAUCCCUCCUGCCCAGCUCCCAUGGACUUGCUUACAAAUGCUAAUGAGUUCAUUUCAUUUGUCUCUACCCAGCAACCCAGGUAGUACCAGCCUCCCAAAGGGAAUUAGGGAAGACUUGGAAUACUAGGAAAAAUACAGGACUAAUGAAUAGUUUCCAUGUGGGACCCAGCCCCGCCUCCAGCUCCUUUGUCAGAGGUGGCAGAGAUCUUCAACCUGUUCUGACUUUGCACUCAGAUUAACAAAACAUGCACUGCUAGGGGCACAUAGAUUCUUUCACCAGGCAAAGGUGUUUGGGUUCAGCAAGCUUACACCCUAAUUAUAAAGGAGGAGAAAAUGGGGCAGAGUCUGCAGUGGGGAUGGGAAGGAUUUUUAGGAAGGGCAUGGAUAAAGAAAAAAAAAGGUUAAUAACCAAGUUUGCUGUGAAAUUAAAACUUCAUGACAUAUUUGUCCAGACCCUGCCGAACAUUUGCAAACCUCUCUUUGGGAAGCAAGAGAGACACAGCCAACAGGGAGAAACUGCAGGGUGGGAACCAAUUUCCUCCUAGAUCUACUCUGGGGAAAAUCUAGAAGCCCAGGACUGCCAGAGACCAUCUUCAUGUUCUCAUUCAUGUUCAGACCCCAGCUUUUGAGGGCCUAAAAGCAGCUCAGGCCUUGUUCCACCUUUCUCAGGGAAAAUCUGUGC
rnacentral:lncRNA from 1 species